rnacentral:rRNA from 1 species
AUUGAACGCUGGCGGCAGGCCUAACACAUGCAAGUCGAGCGGAAACGAGUUAACUGACCCUUCGGGUGACGUUAACGGCGUCGAGCGGCGGACGGGUGAGUAAUGCCUGGGAAAUUGCCCUGAUGUGGGGGAUAACCAUUGGAAACGAUGGCUAAUACCGCAUAAUGCCUUCGGGCCAAAGAGGGGGACCUUCGGGCCUCUCGCGUCAGGAUAUGCCCAGGUGGGAUUAGCUAGUUGGUGAGGUAAUGGCUCACCAAGGCGACGAUCCCUAGCUGGUCUGAGAGGAUGAUCAGCCACACUGGAACUGAGACACGGUCCAGACUCCUACGGGAGGCAGCAGUGGGGAAUAUUGCACAAUGGGCGCA